CACAUUUUUUGAUUCGUUAAAUAUUGGAUAUAUUUUGCUACUUUACAAAGUUUGUUUACAAUUAUUUGGUUUCGAACAAACACCUAUGUGAUUAACUAUUUUGUAUCUCACAAUUUACACAGUUGUAUAACUCAGGUAAAGAAAAUUCGAAUCGACAAAAUAAAAAAUAAUUGAAAAAUUAUAUCCUGAUGAUUAUUACAUUCAUCAAUAUAAACUGAACUUAUUAAUGUAGUAAUUUUUUAGAUUUAGUCAGUGACAGAUGUUUAGGUUUCAACUACUAAUUUAUCGAACACCAAAUGACUGUUGGAGAAUUUAAAAAGAAUGCAUGCUUAACGACAAUAAUACCAGUACUUCUAGUAGUAAGAGGGUGCUCUAAUCAAAGCAGUUGUAGAAGUGAUCAAGGAACUGUGGUAAGCAGAUUCAUUGGAUAGAGUGGUGAAUACGUUUUCCAUAAAGAAUCAAAUCCAAAGAUUUGCACCUCAGAAGAAGAGGAAAUGCACAAAAAUCAUCUCAAUACAGUGUUCUCGAAUUUAGACUAAAACCCAAAUUGAAAGUUACCACUGACUUUUCAUUGAAAUGAAAGGUGAAAAUGGAACCUAUGGCGUAGAAUUAAUCCGAAACAAGCACCUUUCUCAAUCACCAGAAAUGCAAUGUAAUAUGCUCGACACUUGAUUCAUCAACCAACCAAGUUGAUGUCAUCUCCUGAAAACGCCCUGGAAUUUUUAGAUAUGACUAAGUACUCAGCAGACAGUCCAGAACAUUUUUGUUAUAACCUGUAUGCACUGUCAAAUCAUAAUGGGACCACUUAAAUGGACAUUAAUGACAUACUGUUAACACCCACACACAGGCAAAUGGUAUGAUCACAUCGAUUGACGAGCGUCACCAAUUUCACAAAUAUCUUCUGUGAGUAGAGAGGCAUAUAUUCUUUUCUACGAACAGAAGUGAAGUAUUUUGCAACUUUGAAAAGUUAUAGUAUUUUUCCUAAUCGUUUACAGUAAAUUAUUGUAUUCAAAUUUUCCUAUUAGUGUUUCAAAAUGUUAUUUUUUGAUAUUGCAUAAACUAAUAGUAUUCAUUAUUACUGUUAUUCAUGUCACCUGGUUUUGUGAUUGUAUUUAUGUCUUCGGAGAACAUAUUUUCUCAUUAUUUAUUAUGCAGUGUUGUUUCUUAAAUAUUAUUAGGCCUACUAAAAUUACUUAUUGUAUUUACUUGAGUUUACUUCGAGUCUCACUUUUAUAUUUUUAAAUUGUUUAUGAAUAUUUAUUGUAUUUGAUGCCUGUAAUAUUAUAAAAGAGGUGAUCCUGUGCAACAAACGAAUAAAUAAAUACUGGCGUAGAGAA